CAAAUAUAAUAAAAAAGGCAGAUUAAAAUAUAUAUCACAUGAAACACCUUUCAAUGUGUUUUUUUUUCCUAAUGGAAAAGAGGUAAACAAAAACGAUGUAAUCCCUAGAUCUCUUACGUCCCCUAACCGCAUCAUUUUGUUUAGGUACCAUUCGGGUCCAGAGCAAAGGCUGAUGGGUAGUAGCAGCUAACGUUUGGCUGAUACCCGACUCUCAAUACAGCUGCUGCAAAAGGUGGAAAGAUAGGCAGAGUGCAAAGCCAAGGUUUUCGUUUAGACUGACCAAUCGAUGCCCCAAAUUAUCUUUUUUUAUGCAAGCAAAGAAGUUGUUUCUCUCUGAUGCGGGAAACGUUUUCUCUGCUAAAAGAAGGGGGGAAAGCAAAACAGCAAUCUUUGCUAAAUAAAAAAAGGAUCUGCGUAACUCUGGGCUUCUGCAGGACCGCGGAGACUGAUGGGUACUCAUUGAAAUAUGCUGAUGGAUACAUGGCUAAACCUGGUGCUGAGGUCAUGGCUGUCCUUGUUUUAUUCUUCUAAACUGGCCACCCAGGGACAAGACUUCACCUUAGGUCUAAACAUCACUGACAGCUCUCGCAGAAGCAGUGCAUCAUAAACAGGUUUGGAACUAUCAGAUCUUUAUAUUGUGUUUGUGGCUGAAAACAGGGAAAUAAUAACUCAGCAUG
rnacentral:lncRNA from 1 species